GUGAAUCAUCAAAUCUUUGAACGCAAAUUGCGCUUUCUGGCAUCCCGGGAAGUAUGCCUGUUUGAGGGUCAGUAUUAACAAAAAAUCGGUUUGGUUGCAAUUUGUGCCGUUUCUGGGGCUUGGGCUAUUUUAAAUUUUUUGGUUAAGGGGCUUAAAAUAGACCUUAUUUGCGCAUUUUUAGACGUACAUUAAUUCUUUUUUUUAUUCGUCUGUCUUAAUGCUCAAAAUCAUAUUAGAUGCGACCAUAUCGUGUGGUUUCGUGUGUAUAU
rnacentral:misc_RNA from 1 species